GCAAACAUUUGGCUCUACUCUUACAGUUUGUUAUGUGUUAACGGUCCCUUAAAUUCACUGUUUUCAGAAAAAUCGGUUCAACUCAAGUUGAAAUUAAAUUAAUUGUGUGUUAACAAGGAAAAAACCUGUGCAAAAGUUAUCACAAUGUCAUUGUUAAAUAGAGAAAUGGUUCGCCGUGGACUCAACUUAGCUACAGUGGUUUCUCGUCAACAAGUCCGAGGAAAGAAACGUUUACUGCCAAUCAUUAGUGAAAAAUGGCUCUGGCCUGCUAUCCCAGUUGUUGGUUUACUGCUUUAUAACAUGUGGUUCAUUAGGCCUUCCGAAAUUCUGGAAGAUUAUCGAUCAGAGAUUGAGAAAAUUUCUAACCUCAAAAACAAAAAAUUUGAUUGAAUAUGAAUCAUUUUCUUCAAUUCUUAUCUUCCUCCCCACUUUUCACCUCAAUUUGUCUUUUGCCAAUCAGUUUAGUUGGUUAAUAAUUGUCAUUUAAUUUCAUUGGCGAGAGUAUUGAGAAUGUUGCUUAAUUAUAGAAUUAAAAUUGAACUUGAUGAUUAUUC